AAACUAGAUCUCAGUUCGGAUUGCAGGCUGCAACCCGCCUGCAUGAAGUCGGAAUCGCUAGUAAUCGCGGGUCAGCAUACCGCGGUGAAUACGUUCCCGGGCCUUGUACACACCGCCCGUCACACCACGAAAGUUAGUAACACCCGAAGCCGGUGGCCUAACCCGCAAGGGAGGGAGCUGUCGAAGGUGGGACUGAUGAUUGGGGUGAAGUCGUAACAAGGUAUC
rnacentral:rRNA from 1 species